GCUCCCUUGGCUUAGUGGUAAAGCGCAUCACUAGUAUGAUUGCUCAGGUAUGAUGAGAUCACUGGUUCGAUUCCAGUAGGGAGCA